AGGCUGCCUGCGAGCCACGUAUUAAUCAGGAGAAAACACGGGGACUUUGCUCAAGUACCUAACAAGCAGAUUGUAGUGAAAGCGCCGUUGCCUGAGCACUAGUUCGUCUGGCACCUAUUUUACGGAGGUUUGACUAUGAGCCAAAUGUCGUGCUGGCUCCUGGGAACAUCAACCACACGGAAAUAGACAGAGGUAGGCCCCGCCCACCCGUGGGGAACUAUCCAUCUGUGGAAGGAUAGGGAUGCGGAGCCACAAAAAGCAAAACAAAAUGUAGAAGUCUAAGACGCUGGUAAGGUGUCCUGAAGUACAACAGAAGUAAAAGAAGCAGAGGUAGGAUGGGCAAAGGGGUAGAGAUGGCUCUUGGUCAGUGUCUCGGGCAGGGGUUAUAGGCCCUGUCUCUUCUUGGUACACACGUUGGAGUGGGAGUUGGGUGUGUGGCUCACCUGGUGACUGAAACACACCACUGGGUUGAUGUGGGGAAAGAAGGGACUUAUCCUGAGCUGAGUUAGAUGGUGAUGGAGGAGCCUGAACUGUAGGGCAAGUACCCGGCACCCUCUCGGCUUUCUGCCAUGUAAGGAUACAAUGUAAAGAUGGCGGAGGAAACACUGGGACAAGAACUCUUACCAGACAACAGAAUGGCAAGCACGUUGGACAUGGAAGUCACCCUCCAGAACAAUAAGAAACUAAUUUCUGCUUCUGAGCCACCCUGGCUGUGGGUACUUGCUACAGAUAGCACAUAUUGGCGACACAAUGAUGGUGUCCUGAGAGAAGCCUGACUGAAGACUUUUCAAGGUAGUGGAGUCAUCUGUCCACGAUGACAUCUUUUAUUGCUAAGUCACUGUGGUAGUUUGAAUAAAAUGCCCCCAACAGGCUCCUUAGGAAUGGCACUUUUAGGAGUUGUGACCUUGAUGGAGGAAGUGUGUCUGAGUCUUUCUUCCUGCUGCCUUCCAGCAGAGACUGAUGUAGAACUCUCAGCUCCUUCUCUGACACCAAGUCUGCCUGCAUGUGCCAUGCCUUCUACCCCGAUGAUAAUGGACUAAACCUCUGAAACUGCAAGCCAGCCCCAAUUAAAUACUUUCCUUUAUGAGUU
rnacentral:lncRNA from 1 species